rnacentral:rRNA from 1 species
UACAGAGGUCUCAAGCGUUGUUCGGAAUCAUUGGGCGUAAAGGGUGCGUAGGUGGCGUGGUAAGUCGGGUGUGAAAUUUCGGAGCUUAACUCCGAAACUGCAUUCGAUACUGCUGUGCUUGAGGACUGGAGAGGAGACUGGAAUUUACGGUGUAGCAGUGAAAUGCGUAGAGAUCGUAAGGAAGACCAGUGGCGAAGGCGGGUCUCUGGACAGUUCCUGACACUGAGGCACGAAGGCCAGGGGAGCAAACGGG